GCCCUUGGUGGCCCCUUGGGGGCAGGCUGGCUUUUAGGGUGAUUUUCAGGAUGACUCGUAGGAUAAUUUAUGGGGCAGUCCUUGUAACUGCAAGGCAGCAUUUCUGUCGGUCCCUCCCUUUGUGACUGUAUAGGAGGGACACCAGGGGCUGGCAGACCACGUCAGCACAGCCUGACAGCAGAGCCCUGUAGCAGGAGACAGGCUGUCACGGGGACGCUGAAUGUACAAGCUCUGUUCCCGGCCCCAGGGAGGUGUGAGGCUGGAGUCCACGGCACAGACUUCAGCUGCUGGAACUCAAGCCUGUGUAUGGUCAGGGUUCAAAAUUUGUCACCACGUGUUACAGGGUCAGGCUAGAGUCCUACUUAUGGCAUAGUUUACAAUGAGAAGGAGCCUUAUGUGCUGAAGGAUAGGCCCCCACCUUGUGAUCCUUAAUUUUAAAGACCCCAGCAUCAGGGCAAUUUUCUUGAGUAACUUAUUUUAGAGUAGAAAUUAUCAGUUUCUCGAGGUCGGGAUUGAAGGCACUUGAGAUGGUAUUUCAUGUUCGGACUCAGGUGUUUAUUAUUUCUUAUCCAUGUUACAGUCUCACUACCACUUUUUCAUUAGCAAAGCACAAAAUGGCUAACUAAUACUUGUUACAAGGUCUUUUAAUACUAAACUAUCCAAUUAAGAAUGGACAUCUAGAUUAUUUUCCUUUUUAACCCAAUAACUGAUCCCUCGAAGCCUGCAAUGCAGACUUUUGUGUCCAAUCACAAAACAUCACCCAAACCCAUGAAGAAGAAGGAAGAAGAAGGUGAAGAAGAAGGAAGAAGUCUUCUCCACAGCCUCAGGUCAAAUGCAGUGUUCUCUUGUGGGUCUGUGCCUUUCAGCACAGAAAGUCUAAAAUUCUCAGCAUCCAGGAUUCCAACAGAAAUCUCCUGGUGAGAAGGACAUACAUGCUGACUCUGCAGAAGUUCUUUGCUGGGUAACUUAAGUAAAGGAGGGGCAAAAAGUCAUGGUACUGUAUGAUCUCUUCUAAAAUGGUCCAGGGUUGCAAAUUUGAAUCAAGUCUUGCUGGCUAAGGAGGCUGUUUGACUUGUAAAUCAGUUUCUGUUUACAGCUGCUGAUGACAGAUCCCACACUAUUAAAGAUGAUGUCAUUUCA